UACAGAGGGGGCAAGCGUUGUUCGGAAUUACUGGGCGUAAAGGGCGCGUAGGCGGCCUUCUAAGUCGAACGUGAAAUCCCCGGGCUCAACCCGGGAACUGCGUCCGAUACUGGCAGGCUUGAAUCCGGGAGAGGGAUGCGGAAUUCCAGGUGUAGCGGUGAAAUGCUUAGAUAUGACAUAGAACACCUAUUGCGAAGGCAGCUUACUACGCAAUCAUUGACGCUGAGGCACGAAAGCGUGAGGAUCAAACAGG
rnacentral:rRNA from 1 species